UCGAUAGUCAAAAGUUAAAUAUCACCAUAUAUUGUCAGUGAGUUGGUCAUCGUUUGUUGAUGAUUAAAGUGAGAUAGGUGUAGCCAAUGUGCACCAAUGAAAAAUACAAUGGAAUUGAUAGCAACCAUAUUCUUUCGGUUUUCGAUCUGCAUAUGUUGCCACGUAGGCUACCAUACUACAGAAUUAUAUUUAACGAUAUUUAACUGUAUUAGAUCUAUGUUAAUAAACGUAGUGACAAAUAAAUUUCAAUAAAUAUUUAGAGCUGUUUCAACUUCGUCUGGUAUUGUAUAAGCUAUUGCAUUUUGUUUAUUUCCCCAUGUUUCUAAUCUUUGUAAAUGUUAGAACAUAUAUAACUAUCCUGGCAUAUUAAUAUGGAAAAUAUUAAGGUAGAUCUAAGUAUUAAAAAAAAUCACAGUUUUAAUUAGGAUAAAUACCCCAAAGUGUUAACACUUUUAUCACUUAUUGGUGGGCCAAUUCAUAAUUCAUAUUCAACAUUCUUGCUUCAAAUAUGGGAACUAUUUAUUUUAUUUGGCAAUAUAUAUUUUUCAUUUAUGUACAUAUUUUUCAAAUAAGGUUUUAGAAACUUGGCCAUGAUAUUCACUUGAAUCACUAGUUUGAGUGUACAGCAGAAAGGUAAAGUUACUGCUUUUGAAAAACUACAGUUGAUCUGUUGACUGAUAAAACUAUUUGCCAAUAUUACUAUCAGUUACAUCAUACUCUAUUAGUCUAAGUAAAUGGGAUUUAUCUAUACAGUACUGGUUUAUUUAAGAAUGUGAUACUUUGUGGUUUCUGUUUUUCUUUCAGGUGGAGAAAACAGUAUUGUGGGAGCGUAUUUGUUUAAAGUACAUAUCACUGACACAAAGUUACCAAGGCAUAAGGAGAGACUGAGGAUACAGUUGAAGAUCAUCCCUGUGACUUUUCAUUUGAGGACUGAAAAGGCUCCCCAGCAACUCAGCCCAUGUUCUGACUUGUCAUUUAACAAAUAAAUAAAGGUCACCUCAA